GACAAACGCUGGCGGCGUGCUUAACACAUGCAAGUCGAGCGGUAAGGCCCUUUCGGGGGUACACGAGCGGCGAACGGGUGAGUAACACGUGGGUGACCUGCCCUCAGCUCUGGGAUAAGCCUGGGAAACCGGGUCUAAUACUGGAUAUGACUCCAUGACGCAUGUUGUGGGGUGGAAAGCCUUGUGCGGCUGAGGAUGGGCCCGCGGCCUAUCAGCUUGUUGGUGGGGUGANGGCCUACCAAGGCGACGACGGGUAGCCGGCCUGAGAGGGCGACCGGCCACACUGGGACUGAGACACGGCCCAGACUCCUACGGAAGGCAGCAGUGGGGAAUCUUGCGCAAUGGGCGAAAGCCUGACGCAGCGACGCCGCGUGAGGGAUGACGGCCUGGU
rnacentral:rRNA from 1 species